UACGUAGGGGGCAAGCGUUUGUCCGGAGUUACUGGGCGUAAAGCGCACGCAGGCGGUCGCGUAAGAGUGCGGGGACAGUGGGCGGCUUAACUGCCCCAAGGGUCGCACAGACUGCGUGACUGGAGGGCCAGAGAGGGACCUGGAAUUCCGGGUGGAGCGGUGAAAUGCGUAGAGAUCCGGAGGAACACCAAUGGCGAAGGCAGGGUCCGUGGCUGGCACCUGACGCUCAUGUGCGAAAGCCAGGGGAGCGAACGGGG
rnacentral:rRNA from 1 species